rnacentral:rRNA from 1 species
UACGUAGGGAGCAAGCGUUGUUCGGAAUCACUGGGCGUAAAGGGAGCGUAGGUGGGAGGAUAAGUUAGAAGUUAAAUGUGCAGGCUUAACCUGUAAUCUGCUUUUAAUACUGUCCUUCUUGAGUAUGGGAGAGGUUAACGGAAUUCCAGGUGUAGCGGUGGAAUGCGUAGAUAUCUGGAAGAACACCAGUUGCGAAGGCGGUUAACUGGCCCAAUACUGACACUGAGGCUCGAAAGCUAGGGGAGCAAACAGG